rnacentral:lncRNA from 10 species
AGCCAUUUAGGAAAGAUUGGUGACCUAUCUGCAUGAUGGCAUUAACUACAAGGAUCAUCGAAGAGCCACAGUCACAAAGCCAGUCUCUGAAUAUGGUUCAAAGAAAUCUUAUAACUCUCUGAACAGGACGUGUAUUCGUCAACACUACUUGGAGGGCCGGUACUUCCAAGGAAGUCACCUUUGCAGUCGAUCUAUGUGCACUGUUCUCAGAGCCAGCUCGCACCCAUGAAGAACAACACAACUUACCGGUCAUAGGAGCAGAAAGUGUCAACCUUGCAGCAGGAUUUGGACACUCUGGGAGCCAAACUGGAUGUGGAAGCUCCAAAGAGGAUGCAGCAAUAAGGCACCAUCUUGGAAAAGGAGACUGAUCCUCAAAAAAUGUCAGUGCCUCAAUCUUGGACUUCCCAGCCUCUAAAACG